GACGAACGCUGGCGGCGUGCUUAACACAUGCAAGUCGAACGGAAAGGCCCUGCUUUUGUGGGGUGCUCGAUUGGCGAACGGGUGAGUAACACGUGUGUUACCUGCCCUUGACUUUGGUAUAACUUCAGGAAACUGGGGCUAAUACCGGAUAGGAGCUCCUGCUGCAUGGUGGGGGUUGGAAAGUUUCGGCGGUUGGGGAUGGACUCGCGGCUUAUCAGCUUGUUGGUGGGGUAGUUGCUUACCAAGGCUUUGACGGGUAGCCGGCCUGAGAGGGUGACCGGCCACAAUGGGACUGAGAUACGGCCCAGACUCCUACGGGAGGCAGCAGUGGGGAAUAUUGCACAAUGGGCGGAAGCCUGAUGCAGCAACGCCGCGUGCGGGAUGACGGCCUUCGGGUUGUAAACCGCUUUCGCCUGUGACGAAGCGUGAGUGACGGUAAUGGGUAAAGAAGCACCGGCUAACUACGUG
rnacentral:rRNA from 1 species